GAGAGGUAUAUCGGACAAGAAGAGAAGGGAAUAAAUAAAGAACAGCUUUCGGUAUUUGCAAGGCUCGAUUUCAACCAUUAGUUUGUCAUUUGUUCAUGUUUUAAUCCACAUAACAAUUCCUGUCUCGUUUUUCUUAUUGUGGCAACAUGGAGCCAUCAUCGUAUAGUCAUAACACUACCAUCCUUAUUUUUCUUAUUGUUUAUUAGUAUCAGUGUUUAUAGCUAGAAACCAUUUUUAUCAAUCUUAUCAGAAUUAAUACUGUCCCGUAAUACUUUCUGAUUUAAUUACUGAUAGCCGACUAUAGUCAAGUCACUAAUGCGAAUGAGAAUCCUUCUAAUAUUAUUUUUAAUUAGUGCUUAAAGCUCCUCUCAAAUUAUUCACCUUACUAAAUUUGAGUUUAUUAUAGAUUUUUAACUUGAACUUAUUGUCAAUAUUUUUUUACCAUUUCCAUAUUAUUUUAUUAUUUAUCAAAUUAACGAUGUAUAUAUAUUUUUUAUUUACCCUUCACUCUUAGGCAUAAACAUCUGAAGUGUAGCAAUUGUAAGAAAUAUCAAUU
rnacentral:lncRNA from 1 species